CGACCGGCGCACGGGUGAGUAACACGUAUGAAACCUGCCCGUAGCAGGGGGAUAAGCGGAAGAAAUUCCGUCUAAUACCGCGUAACAACCCAUGGAGGCAUCUCUGUGGGUUUAAAGGAAGCGAUUCCGGCUACGGAUGGUCAUGCGUCGCAUUAGCUUGUUGGCGGGGUAACGGCCCACCAAGGCGACGAUGCGUAGGGGUUCUGAGAGGAAGGUCCCCCACACUGGUACUGAGACACGGACCAGACUCCUACGGAAGGCAGCAG
rnacentral:rRNA from 1 species